rnacentral:tRNA from 1 species
CGUAGUUCAGUUGGUAGAGCACCUGAUUGUGAUUCAGGUUGUCGUGGGUUCGAGCCCCAUCG